AUCUCCACAGCUGGGAUGUGUUGGAGACAAGACCUUCAUCUCAGCUUUGGCCGAUGGUCUCCUGUGCUUCCAGAGACCAUCAUUCUCUGUGGUGUGGAGGUUGUUCUUUCUUGGGAGCACCCUCGACAUCUGGAGUGUCCAGCUUCUCCUGCUAGAGUCUUAAGUUCUCCUUCAGCUUUCUCCUAGCCUUUCUCGUCCGAAUCAGAUUUUGCCUGGAAGGUCACAGCACCACUGGGAAAGCUUGGAGGUAGCAAGUUAUCAUUAAUGUCAUUACAGGAGAGCCCCACCUCUCUGAUAAGUGGUUUGAGAGUCUGCUGUCGUCUGUUGUUGAAAACAGUCAUGUUUGUUAGUUUGCUGUUUGAUCAGUCGAAUUAGUGACUCCAGGGACCAGCAAGGAGCAGUAGAAUAAUAACACACUGGAUCCUUCAUCUUUCAUGUGGCAUUUAGAGACUCCAGAAGAUGGGAAACAUUUCGAACUGUAGAACUUGAAAAUCAUUCAGUAGAUUGGACUGCGGGUGGUAAAGGAGGUGGUGAGUGGCUGCUGAUCAUCCAAUCAACUCCCAGAUCUCCCUUGGACACUCCUACUACUGAUUUCGCUAUGCAAAAUAUAUGUCAGCCAUUUCAUGGGUCUGUACGGCAAAGAGAAAGACUUGCCCUACUUUUCAAAUACUUUAUUUUCCCAUUCUAGAAUAUUCUUUUUUUCCUUUGUUCUCUCACUGUACUCGAUUUACUCUAUUUUGCUGGAAUAUUAGUACCCAGUUACAACUAAGGGUGCGUGAUUGUGUAAAGGUGAUGGUUAUAAAGAUUUUGAGUGGACAAGUCAUGUAAUUAGGGUGCCACAUAGCAGCCUGUCCCGGACUGUAGCCAUUUUGUAUUUUUAUAGAGAUCUGGAAACACACACAUUUCCUAAGGAGUAGAGGAUGGGUCAGUCCUGCUCUGUGUGCCCUUCAUUUGGGAAAGGUCUGAAUCAUGAUCAAAACCACAUUUACAAUUGCCUUUUGAAUGCCAGUAAUGGCAUAAUCUUGACUCUAGAUGGUGCUCUAAGACAACUAUGAACCGACACUGCAUUCAGGCAACACUUCAACAGAGAAUGGUCCAG